rnacentral:rRNA from 1 species
CGUAGGUGGCAAGCGUUGUCCGGAGUUACUGGGUGUAAAGGGCGUGUAGGCGGGAAGGUAAGUCAGAUGUGAAAUUCCAUGGCUCAACUGUGGCGCUGCAUCUGAAACUAUCUUUCUUGAGUGAUGGAGAGGAAAGUGGAAUUCCUAGUGUAGCGGUGAAAUGCGUAGAUAUUAGGAGGAACACCAGUGGCGAAGGCGACUUUCUGGACAUUAACUGACGCUGAGGCGCGAAAGCGUGGGGAGCAAACAGGAUUAGAUACCCUGGUAGUCCACGCUGUAAACGAUGGAUACUAGGUGUAGGAGGUAUCGACCCCUUCUGUGCCGGAGUUAACACAAUAAGUAUCCCACCUGGGGAGUACGGCCGCAAGGUUG